UGAUAUUUCAGGGAAAUAAAUAUGAGUAUAAGAGAGAAGACAACAAAGAACAAGUGCUUGAAGAUUUGUUUGCCUAUCUUUUGGAGAAACAGGUUGAAUUUAACGUUUAUAUACAGAGGGGCGCCAAUAUACAGAGGGGCUCAUGAGGGCUACUGCCCUGUUGAAACUUCGUCAGAAGGACAGUCUACAAAAUUUGAUUUACAGUGUAUUUCAAGAGCUACGUGCAGGUCAUAAUACCAACCUUUCAGAGACCAAGACAGUCGCUGACUUUUAGAAUGGCUUUUUGAGUUUUGUCUCGCAUUUAAACAUGCUUUUUUAGCAAUAGUGCAUGUUUUUGCGUAUAAUGUUUAUAAUUCUUGUGACCGUAUGUUUACAUUUGUUCAGCAUCAACAACGUAUGGGAAAGCAAAUUAUGGUUAUAUGCGAUCAUCAAAACGCGACAUUGGAACAUAUAGUAUGAACUUUAAUUUUACUUCAUUUAAAUUCUACGAAAUUUUUUUUUUAAAUUGGGAAAAUUUUAGAAUAAGUCGUAUGCAGUUUAUGGUUGAGUAAAAUGUCCGUAAUAUUCAGCAUUGAGUUGGGACUUAACGUUCAAAUUGUUUUGUUUCAUUCAUUUAAUGAAGAAUGGCAUUGAAUAUUAGAAGUGUGCUUACAAUGUGUAUAUCUUCUUACUUAGGAUUUGAAAUUCUUCAAAUUUGUCGUUAAUUUAUUCAACAUUUAUUACCCUAAUAUACUUGGUAAGUAAUAUUGUAAUAUUAGUUUGUUGUAUGGAGUAAGUAAUUAAAGGUUUUAAUGCAGUUACCCUUUUUAUAUUCAUUUGUUUAUAGAUUCAUUUCUGGUUGUCGGUGUUUCAUGGCGUGUUUCUU
rnacentral:lncRNA from 1 species